UCCUUGAAAUCAAAACCCUAAAAUCACUUGAUGAUAUAGAAAAUAACUUGAAUCAGAAAAUAUAUGUUCAGAACCAUAUAAUAGACAUGAAAUUAACAAGAAUUCAUACCGCAAUCAAUUGAUUCAGAAAUUGACUUGAAAAUUUCUGAUUGAAGAAUCGCGGGAUGCGGAAGAUGCACACAAAUGAUCAUUGAAGAAUCGGCGGAGAAAGGAGAAACACGAGAGAUUGUGAGUUCGAAGUGUGAUUUUGGAAGAAUUGGUGAGAAUGCGAGAGAUUUUGGAAGAAUCGGAAGUGUAAUGGGUGAUUGGGUGUGAUGAAAAUGGGAGAAAAAUAGAUUCUUGUUUCUUGAAG
rnacentral:lncRNA from 1 species